UACGGAGGGUGCAAGCGUUAUCCGGAUUCACUGGGUUUAAAGGGUGCGUAGGUGGGCAGGUAAGUCAGUGGUGAAAUCUCCGGGCUUAACCCGGAAACUGCCAUUGAUACUAUCAGUCUUGAAUACCGUGGAGGUAAGCGGAAUAUGUCAUGUAGCGGUGAAAUGCUUAGAUAUGACAUAGAACACCAAUUGCGAAGGCAGCUUACUAACCGAAUAUUGACACUGAGGCACGAAAGCGUGGGGAUCAAACAGG
rnacentral:rRNA from 1 species